rnacentral:lncRNA from 1 species
UGAUAUAUAGCAGUAUGUAGUGGUAAUCUAGUAAAACUAAAAUAGAACCUCAAGGUAUAGUUCUCAUAUGAUUCAGCUCCUCUAUCGUGAGUCCCAACUAGAUGACAGAUCAUGGAUAAAUCUUCAAACCUCAUCAUCAGUCAUAUGAUAGAUUCGAUUAGCUCAAGUCCAAUUAUGAUUUUUAUGAAAACUUUUUUUCAUCAAUCACAUUACUGUGGCCAUAUACUCAUAGAUUUAGCCUCUCAAAUCAUAUAAGAUUACUCCUUUCUAUCAAGGUCGAUAGAUUUUAUUUAGAUGUGCACCCUACUCCUAUAGUGG